UACAGAGGGGGCAAGCGUUGUUCGGAAUUACUGGGCGUAAAGGGCGCGUAGGCGGCCUUCUAAGUCGAACGUGAAAUCCCCGGGCUCAACCCGGGAACUGCGUCCGAUACUGGAGGGCUUGAAUCCGGGAGAGGGAUGUGGAAUUCCAGGUGUAGCGGUGAAAUGCGUAGAUAUCUGGAGGAACACCGGUGGCGAAGGCGACAUCCUGGACCGGUAUUGACGCUGAGGCGCGAAAGCCAGGGGAGCGAACGGG
rnacentral:rRNA from 1 species